rnacentral:rRNA from 1 species
GACGAACGCUGGCGGCGUGCCUAAUACAUGCAAGUAGAACGCACAGUUUAUACCGUAGCUUGCUACACCAUAGACUGUGAGUUGCGAACGGGUGAGUAACGCGUAGGUAACCUGCCUGGUAGCGGGGGAUAACUAUUGGAAACGAUAGCUAAUACCGCAUAAUAUUAAUUAUUGCAUGAUAAUUAAUUGAAAGGUGCAAUUGCACCACUACCAGAUGGACCUGCGUUGUAUUAGCUAGUAGGUGAGGUAACGGCUCACCUAGGCGACGAUACAUAGCCGACCUGAGAGGGUGAUCGGCCACACUGGGACUGAGACACGGCCCAGACUCCUACGGGAGGCAGCAGUAGGGAAUCUUCGGCAAUGGACGAAAGUCUGACCGAGCAACGCCGCGUGAGUGAAGAAGGUUGUCGGAUCGUAAAGCUCUGUUGUAAGAGAAGAACGGGUGUGAGAGUGGAAAGUUCACACUGUGACGGUAUCUUACCAGAAAGGGACGGCUAACUAUGUG